UACGUAGGGUGCAAGCGUUAAUCGGAAUUACUGGGCGUAAAGCGUGCGCAGGCGGUUCGAUAAGACAGAUGUGAAAGCCCCGGGCUCAACCUGGGAACCGCGCUUGAGGCUGGCGGACUCGAGUUCGGGAGAGGAUGGUGGAAUUCCCAGUGUAGAGGUGAAAUUCGUAGAUAUUGGGAAGAACACCGAUGGCGAAGGCAGCCAUCUGGACCGACACUGACGCUGAGGCGCGAAAGCGUGGGGAGCAAACAGG
rnacentral:rRNA from 1 species